CACGAAUCCAGGCCCUACGGGGCGCAGCAGGCGCGAAAACUUUACAAUGCAGUCGAGUGCGAUAGGGGAUCAUUGAGUGCUCAUCAUAUUGGUGGGCUGUCCAUCCGCCUAAAAAGCGGAUGUUAGCAAGGGCCGGGCAAGACCGGUGCCAGCCGCCGCGGUAAUACCGGCGGCUCGAGUAGUGGCCGAUAUUAUUGAGUCUAAAGGGUCCGUAGCCGACUUUGCAAGUCUCUCGGGAAAUCCAACGGAUUAACCGUUGGUCGGCCGGGGGGUAAUACAUUGCUUGGGACUGGGAGAGGUAGGAGGUACUCAGGGGGUAGGAGUGAAAUCCUGUAAUCCUCUGGGGACCACCGGUGGCGAAGGCGUCCUGCCAGAACAGGUCCGACGGUGAGGGACGAAAGCUAGGGGCACGAACCGGAUUAGAUACCCGGGUAGUCCUAGCCGUAAACGAUGCUCGCUAGGUGUCGCAACAGUCGUGAAUUGUUGCGGUGCCGUAGGGAAGCCGUGAAGCGGGCCACUUGGGAAGUACGACCGCAAGGUUGAAACUUAAAGGAAUUGGCGGGGGAGCAC
rnacentral:rRNA from 1 species